GGAGCCUGCGGUUUAAUUGGACUCAACGCCGGGCAGCUCACCGGAUAAGACAGCUGGAUGAUAGCCGGGCUGAAGACUCUGCUUGACUAGCUGAGAGGAGGUGCAUGGCCGUCGUCAGUUCGUACUGUGAAGCAUCCUGUUAAGUCAGGCAACGAGCGAGACCCACGCCAACAGUUGCCAGCAUGUCCUCCGGGAUGAUGGGGACACUGUUGGGACCGCCUCUGCUAAAGAGGAGGAAGGGAAUGGGCAACGGUAGGUCAGCAUGCCCCGAAUUAUCCGGGCUACACGCGGGCUACAAUGGUCAGGACAAUGGGUAUCGACACCGAGAGGUGGAGGCAAUCUCCUAAACCUGUCCUUAGUUCGGAUUGUGGGCUGCAACUCGCCCACAUGAAGCUGGAAUCCGUAGUAAUCGCGUUUCAAAAUAGCGCGGUGAAUAUGUCCCUGCUCCUU
rnacentral:rRNA from 1 species